UACAGAGGGUUCAAGCGUUGUUCGGAUUCAUUGGGCGUAAAGGGCGCGUAGGUGGCUUGGUAAGUCGGAUGUGAAAUCCCGGGGCUCAACCCCGGAACUGCAUUCGAUACUGCCAGGCUGGAGUACUGGAGAGGAGAUUGGAAUUUACGGUGUAGCAGUGAAAUGCGUAGAUAUCGUAAGGAAGACCAGUGGCGAAGGCGGAUCUCUGGACAGUUACUGACACUGAGGCACGAAGGCCAGGGGAGCAAACGGG
rnacentral:rRNA from 1 species